rnacentral:rRNA from 1 species
CACCAUACUUAUAACCCGUAGGGAUGUGGGAGCAUAGGCCCCGAGAAGGGCACUGAGACAAGGGUCCUAGCGCUACGGCGUGCAGCAGGCGCGCAAACUCCACAAUGCGCGAAAGCGUGAGUGGGGGGAAUCUGAGUGGUUCACUUCGGUGAACCUUUUGCUAAGUAUAGCAAGCUUGGCGAAUAAGUGCUGGGCAAGACCGGUGGCAGCCGCCACGGUAAUACCGGCAGCACAAGUGGUGUCCACGAUUAUUGGGCUUAAAGCGCUCGUAGCGUGGCCCGUGCCGUCUUGCGUGAAAUAUUGGCGCUCAACGUCAAUGCGUGCGUGAGAUACCC